AUUGAACGCUGGCGGCAUGCCUUACACAUGCAAGUCGAACGGCAGCACGGGUGCUUGCACCUGGUGGCGAGUGGCGAACGGGUGAGUAAUACAUCGGAACAUGUCCUGUAGUGGGGGAUAGCCCGGCGAAAGCCGGAUUAAUACCGCAUACGAUCUACGGAUGAAAGCGGGGGACCUUCGGGCCUCGCGCUAUAGGGUUGGCCGAUGGCUGAUUAGCUAGUUGGUGGGGUAAAGGCCUACCCAGGCGACGAUCAGUAGCUGGUCUGAGAGGACGACCAGCCACACUGGGAGUGAGACACGGCCCAGGCUCCUACGGGAGGCAGCAGUGGGGAAUUUUGGACAAUGGGCGAAAGCCUGAUCCAGCAAUGCCGCGUGUGUGAAGAAGGCCUUCGGGUUGUAAAGCACUUUUGUCCGGAAAGAAAUCCUUGGCCCUAAUACGGUCGGGGGAUGACGGUACCGGAAGAAUAAGCACCGGCUAACUACGUG
rnacentral:rRNA from 1 species